AUGCCUCAGUUGGUAGGUCGCGUUCCGGGUUUUAUUUUUGUCCCACCUCACUCGGUCUUUUUUGAUACUUCUUUGGUACUUCCUCCCACCUUCCUCCCAGCCGCGAAAAACCAAGAAAAACCCCGCGAUCGAGUCCCGCACCCGCCCAACCUCCCGUCCUGGAAGAAAACCUACGAAAAAAACCUACCAAAAAAAACCAGAACUCGCACGCACGAGCGAGACUGCCCUCUCGAUCCCCUCGACCUACGAUCUGUGACUGCAGACGCACCAGAUCGCCGCCGCGGACCUCGCAGGGAAGACGCGGAUGAGAUCCCAAGCCGCUGCUCCUCCUCUCCCGGGAUGCAGCCGCCGCCGCCGAACCAGGGAGACGCCGGCGACCAUCGCCGCCGUCGUGGAUCACCAGGACGCCGCCGCCUGCACCGCCACCACCGCGCCUCGGAUACGUCGCUGCGAGGAGGAUCCCUGGGAGCGGGAGGAGGUAGGGGUCAGCCGCGUCGACAGCGGCGAGGUGGAGCCCUGGGGCUGGGAGUGGGUAUGGGAGGAGGUGGGGGCAGCUGCGAGCGCAGCGGGGUGAGGGGCGUCGAUGAGAUGCUCCUGGUGCCUCCCUCCGAGUGGGAGGGGGAGAGGGGCGUCAGCGGCGAGCCGGACGGGGCGAGGGGCGUCGAUGAGAUGCCCCCGGCGCUUCCCUCCGGGCGGGAGGAGGAGAGGGGCGUCGGCGACGAGGCGGGUGUCGGCGGCAAGAUGGUAUUCGCCAGGGCGCUCUUCUAUCCGACGGUGAUGCUGAACUACGGCCGCAGCUUGAUCGAGCCCGAGUUCCACUGGUGGGAUCGCAUCGACAAGGUCAGUUCACGUCUGUAUUCUUCUUCUUCAUUCACGGGGAGAAUUUUGCGAGAGAAUAGCAAGGGAAGUUUGGAUUGUUCUGCCGAGCGUAUAACAACGCAUGCUAUCUAUCAAAGCUUCGACUCAUUUGUUUUGCUGCUCCGGAAUAUUGAGACGAGAAGAAUGGCCUUGAUGCUGGAGUUUGAACCAUUUAGCAUUUGGGACCACGAGGAUUCCGAUUGGGAGAACGACGUCGUCCAUAGAUUAAUGGUUGGGCAUCUAAAGAUGCUUGGCAACCAGAACUCUGAAGCUAAACACCACUUGAAGGUACCUGGAAAUACAUUACUUGCUGAAGCUGCACAUCCUACGCCCCAGGAGGAGGCCAAAUGCAUAUUCCGAUCAUGUGUUCUAAAUACUAAAGCUUCCUUGCUGGAUCUAAGGUUUAAUUUCUCUGCCCCAAUGCUGGUUCUUAGGUUAUGCUUGACGCACGAUAUGAAGACUGCCAUUUUGCCUUUUGACCUUGGUUUCUUCCUCCAUGCGGAAGGUGAGCUUGGCUGCCGGCAACAGCUCCUUUGGCUGAUCUGCGGUGAUGCAGAAGUUGGGUUGGAAAAAAGCACGACCGGCUGCUCUGAAGUGGGUCGUAGGGAGAGCUUCAUGUUGUGUGCCUUCUUUAUUCAUGGUAGGCAUGGUUGCAUGGCCACGGGGAGAAUGGAGCAAGUAGCGUGUGAGGAGUUUAAGAAAUGGGGACAAGGGACAGUUUAG
rnacentral:rRNA from 1 species